AAGCCAUAGAAGACGCUGGCGGCGUGCUUACACAUGCAAGUCGAACGAUGAACCACCUUCGGGUGGGGAUUAGUGGCGAACGGGUGAGUAACACGUGGGCAAUCUGCCCUUCACUCUGGGACAAGCCCUGGAAACGGGGUCUAAUACCGGAUACUGACCUGCCAAGGCAUCUUGGCGGGUCGAAAGCUCCGGCGGUGAAGGAUGAGCACGCGGCCUAUCAGCUUGUUGGUGAGGUAAUGGCUCACCAAGGCGACGACGGGUAGCCGGCCUGAGAGGGCGACCGGCCACACUGGGACUGAGACACGGCCCAGACUCCUACGGGAGGCAGCAGUGGGGAAUAUUGCACAAUGGGCGAAAGCCUGAUGCAGCGACGCCGCGUGAGGGAUGACGGCCUUCGGGUUGUAAACCUCUUUCAGCAGGGAAGAAGCGAAAGUGACGGUACCUGCAGAAGAAGCGCCGGCUAACUACGUGCCACCAGCCGCGGUAAUACGUAGGGCGCAAGCGUUGUCCGGAAUUAUUGGGCGUAAAGAGCUCGUAGGCGGCUUGUCACGUCGGUUGUGAAAGCCCGGGGCUUAACCCCGGGUCUGCAGUCGAUACGGGCAGGCUAGAGUUCGGUAGGGGAGAUCGGAAUUCCUGGUGUAGCGGUGAAAUGCGCAUAUAUCAGGAGGAACACCGGUGGCGAAGGCGGAUCUCUGGGCCGAUACUGACGCUGAGGAGCGAAAGCGUGGGGAGCGAACAGGAUUAGAUACCCUGGUAGUCCACGCCGUAAACGGUGGGCACUACGUGUGGGCAACAUUCCACGUUGUCCGUGCCGCAGCUAACGCAUUAAGUGCCCCGCCUGGGGAGUACGGCCGCAGGCUAAAACUCAAAGGAAUUGACGGGGGCCCGCACAAGCGGCGCAGCAUGUGGCUUAAUUCGACGCAACUCGAUGAACCUUACCCAGGCUUGACUUACACCGCAAAGCAUCUGAG
rnacentral:rRNA from 1 species